AUUCAUAAUCCGUUUGCGCACAGCCCCGGUAGGAACAGAAGGCAGAGUAUCAGGUAAACGCUCACCUGCUCCUCAGCUGCCAAAUGCGUUGGGCGCUUUAAUGGCCGCUUUCCUUUUGUGCUGCCCUAUUUUUUAAUUAUUAUUUUGGGUUUUUUUUUUUCUUUCCUGGGAGCAGAGCGGAGCGCGGCUGUGAGGUGGAGCAGCUGGCGGGGCUGUGGGUUCCUGCUGGCACCGUGCAGCUCUGCUCACCCACUGCCAACUGCACAGCGCUGCUGCCCGGCCCCGUUCCCAGCGCUCGGAAGGAAAGAGCAUCCCGGUUCUUCUUCACUCUUGGGAACACACACAUUGUUUCAAUAAUCCAGGCAAUAAAUGCUAAUUAGUAAUGCUUAAGGACCCUACCAGUCAGAGUCAUUACCAUAAUCUACCUCUUCCUUGUUAAAAACGCUCCUUGCUGCUUUAAAAUUUUGCCAGGCGAUGCUUUCUUUGCUCUUCCUUUGGAAAGCUCUCCCCGUUGUGUUAGCAAUGAGUGCAGCCCCGCUGCAGCACCGAGACAUUCUGUGGAGGCAAAGCAUGCUCUGCGUGUGGCAAAGGGGACCGGAGCUCGAGAGAAAUGCUGCAAAGCAUCAGAGGUCGAGGAGCUGCCUCAGUGCACCGACACCGUUCUGCGUGGAGGCUGCGGCUCAGCUGAGCGCCCCUCCGGGGAGAGAGAGAAGUGGGGAAAAACGACAACCAGAAAAGAUUGGUGGACUUUGGUUUUCGUAUGCACCUGUGUUUGUAUCAUGCCUGAACCUGCAAAGAGUAACACGUGGUUAUUCGCAUGGAAUCCAGUAAAUGGUGAACCUGUAAAUCAG
rnacentral:lncRNA from 7 species